rnacentral:rRNA from 1 species
GGAGUGGGGGAUACCAGAAGUAGGUAGGGUAACCGCAAGGAGCCCGCUUACCACGGUAUGCUUCAUGACUGGGGUGAAGUCGUAACAAGGUAGCCGUAGGGGAACCUGCGGCUGGAUCACCUCCUUUCUAG